rnacentral:rRNA from 1 species
AGUAACGCGUGGGUAACCUGCCUUGUACUGGGGGACGAACAGUUGGAAACGACUGCUAAUACCGCAUAAGCGCACAGCUUCGCAUGAAGCAGUGCGAAGAACUCCGGUGGUACAAGAUGGACCCGCGUCUGAUUAGCUGGUUGGUGAGGUAACGGCCCACCAAGGCGACGAUCAGUAGCCGGCCUGAGAGGGUGAACGGCCACAUUGGGACUGAGACACGGCCCAA